rnacentral:sRNA from 1 species
CACAGGUCCUGGAGAUGUGGCUGAGCUACCUGCAGCCGUGGCGGUACGCGCCUGACAAGCAGGCUCCGGGCAGCGACUCCCAGCCCCGGUGUGUGUCGGAGAAAUGGGCGCCCUUUGUCCAGGAGAACCUGCUGAUGUACACCAAGUUGUUUGUGGGCUUCCUGAACCGUGCGCUCCGCACAGACCUGGUCAGCCCCAAGCAUGCGCUCAUGGUGUUCCGAGUGGCCAAAGUCUUUGCCCAGCCCAACCUAGCUGAGAUGAUUCAGAAAGGUGAGCAGCUAUUCCUGGAGCCAGAGCUGGUCAUCCCCCACCGCCAGCACCGACUCUUCACAGCCCCCACAUUCACUGGGAGCUUCCUGUCACCCUGGCCACCAGCGGUCACUGAUGCCUCCUUCAAGGUGAAGAGCCACGUCUAUAGCCUGGAGGGCCAGGACUGCAAGUACACCCCGAUGUUUGGGCCCGAGGCCCGCACCCUGGUGAGUGGGUCGGUGGUGUCUGUCCUCAGGGCCCCUGGAGCCAUGGGGCUGAGCAGAACCCAGGAAGUGCUGUGAUCCAGCAGGAAGGAGGGAGGCUGGGUGUAGAUUUGUCGCCGUAUCUCCUUCUCCCGUUUUAGUAAAGUCUAAUUUUUUCCUGAUAACGAAGGCAGUGUUGGGAA